rnacentral:tRNA from 1 species
GCAUUCUAUCGAACGGUGCUGCUUUGCCCUCCGAAGGCAGAGGUCACAGGUUCGAAUCCUGUCGGGUGCGCCA